GCUAUAUUAGUUUAUAAGAAUUUUUAACUUGUAAUUAGAAGGUGUAAUUAGCUU
rnacentral:tRNA from 1 species